AGCAGCCACUCAUUAAAAGAGUGCGUAAUAGCUCACUGGUCGAGUGACUCUGCGCGGAAAAUAUAACGGGGCUAAGCAUGCAACCGAAGCUUGGGAUUGUCUAAAGACAGUGGUAGGGGAGCGUCGUGUACGGGGUGAAGUCGCAUCGGAAGGAGCGGUGGACUGUACACGAGUGAGAAUGCCGGAAUGAGUAGCGAGAAUUAUGUGGGAAUCAUAAUGGCCGAAAAUCUAAGGUUUCUUGGGGAAGGUUCGUCCGCCCAAGGUAAGUCGGGAGCUAAGGCGAGGCCUGACGGCGUAGUCGAUGCACACACGGUUGAAAUUCCGUGACCACCGAAAGAUUUAAGCGAGCUGACACAUAGAGAUAGCCGGACCCCGGCGUUGGUCGACCGGGGCGAAAGGGACCGAACAUCAGUAGGGAAGCCGGCGAUGCUCUGUGGCGAGAAAAGGCUCGAGGUACAUCUGAGGUGCCCGUACCGCAAACCGACACAGGUAGAUGAGGAGAGAAUCCUAAGGCCAGCGGGAGAAGGGUUGUUAAGGAACUCGGCAAAUUGACCCCGUAACUUCGGGAAAAGGGGAGCCUGCUACGGCAGGCCGCAGAGAAUAGGCCCAAGCGACUGUUUACCAAAAACACAGGUCUCUGCUAAAUCGAAAGAUGACGUAUAGGGGCUGACGCCUGCCCGGUGCCGGAAGGUUAAGAGGAGAGCUUAGCGCAAGCGAAGGUUUGAAUUGAAGCCCCGGUAAACGGCGGCCGUAACUAUAACGGUCCUAAGGUAGCGAAAUUCCUUGUCAGGUAAGUUCUGACCCGCACGAAUGGCGUAAUGAUUUGGGCACUGUCUCGACAGCCCGCCCGGCGAAAUUGUAGUACUGGUGAAGAUGCCAGUUACCCGCAACUAGACGGAAAGACCCCAUGGAGCUUUACUGCAGUUUAAUACUGGGAAUCGGUAAUGCAUGUACAGGAUAGGUGGGAGACAUGGAAGCAUGGUCGUCAGGUCAUGUGGAGUCACCGGUGGGAUACCACUCUUGUAUUGCUGAUUUCCUAACCUGCGGCCGUGAAUCCGGUCGGGGGACACUGUUAGACGGGCAGUUUGACUGGGGCGGUCGCCUCCAAAAGAGUAACGGAGGCGCUCAAAGGUUCGUUCAGCACGGACGGAAAUCGUGCAUUGAGUGUAAACGCAUAAACGAGCCUAACUGCGAGACCGACGGGUCGAGCAGUAACGAAAGUUGGAGUUAGUGAUCCGGUGGUAUGUGAGUGGAAAUGCCAUCGCUCAACGGAUAAAAGCUACCCUGGGGAUAACAGGCUGAUCUCCCCCAAG
rnacentral:rRNA from 1 species